GACGAACGCUGGCGGCGUGCCUAAUACAUGCAAGUUGAGCGAUGAAGAUUGGUGCUUGCACCAAUUUGAAGAGCAGCGAACGGGUGAGUAACGCGUGGGGAAUCUGCCUUUGAGCGGGGGACAACAUUUGGAAACGAAUGCUAAUACCGCAUAACAACUUUAAACAUAAGUUUUAAGUUUGAAAGAUGCAAUUGCAUCACUCAAAGAUGAUCCCGCGUUGUAUUAGCUAGUCGGUGAGGUAAAGGCUCACCAAGGCGAUGAUACAUAGCCGACCUGAGAGGGGGGUCGGCCACAUUGGGACUGGGACACGGCCCAAACUCCUACGGGAGGCAGCAGUAGGGGAUCUUCGGCAAUGGACGAAAGUCUGACCGAGCAACGCCGCGGGGGUGGAGAAGGUUUUCGGAUCGGAAAACUCUGUUGGUAGAGAAGAACGUUGGGGAGGGUGGAAAGCUCAUCAAGUGACGGUAACUACCCAGAAAGGGACGGCUAACUACGUG
rnacentral:rRNA from 1 species